rnacentral:rRNA from 1 species
UACAGAGGUCUCAAGCGUUGUUCGGAUUCAUUGGGCGUAAAGGGCGCGUAGGCGGCGGGGUAAGUCGGGUGUGAAAUCUCAGAGCUCAACUCUGAAAUGGCACUUGAUACUGCUCUGCUAGAGGACUGGAGAGGAGAUUGGAAUUCACGGUGUAGCAGUAAAUGCUGAUAUCGUGAGGAAGACCGGUGGCGAAGGCGGAUCUCUGGACAGUUACUGACACUGAGGCACGAAGGCCAAGGGGAGCAACGGG